GCCGCCACUCGCACAAACGUCUACGACCGCACCUACAUAUUUUUACAUGUUUACAAUUUAAACAGGCAAUCCGGUUCUUGGUAACAAUUACAAUUAAACGUUGAUUAGCUGUUUAAAAUUAGAAUUGUAAACAUGCAAAAAUAUAUAGGUGCGGUCGUAGACGUUUGUAGGGGUGGCGGC